GACGAACGCUGGCGGCGUGCUUAACACAUGCAAGUCGAACGGAAAGGCCCUGCUUUUGUGGGGUGCUCGAGUGGCGAACGGGUGAGUAACACGUGAGUAACCUGCCCUUGACUUUGGGAUAACUUCAGGAAACUGGGGCUAAUACCGGAUAGGAGCUCCUGCUGCAUGGUGGGGGUUGGAAAGUUUCGGCGGUUGGGGAUGGACUCGCGGCUUAUCAGCUUGUUGGUGGGGUAGUGGCUUACCAAGGCUUUGACGGGUAGCCGGCCUGAGAGGGUGACCGGCCACAUUGGGACUGCGAUAGGGCCCAGACUCCUACGGGAGGCAGCAGUGGGGAAUAUUGCACAAUGGGCGGAAGCGUGAUGCAGAAACGCCGCGUGCGGGAUGACGGCCUUCGGGUUGUAAACCGCUUUCGCCUGUGACGAAGCGUGAGUGACGGUAAUGGGUAAAGAAGCACCGGCUAACUACGUG
rnacentral:rRNA from 1 species